AGAGUCUCUAAGCAUGAACAGGAAUUCUCUUAUUUCCAUGGAGGAGGAAAUUACAUCACAGAAAAGUCAAAUGAUUUUCCCUCAGCCACACACAGUCAGAAACAGAUUGCAGAAACAGACAUUGAGGACACCAUUUCAAAAGUUUAACAAAAGCAAAACGAGUGAGCAUGCUGGGUGAGGAGAUGGAGGCAGACUGGAAGAGACAGAGGCAGACUGGUCGUCAGGAAGGUAUCUGCAUAUGAAAUGGCACCAGGGAACCAGAGCAUUGUCCAGAAGAAAGCACCACCUCUUAGAAAGAGAAGAGACAUGGGGAAUGUUGCAGGGACACUACUGUUUUCCUUGGAUGAGCUGGCCAGAACUUUGCUCUUUC
rnacentral:lncRNA from 13 species